rnacentral:rRNA from 1 species
GGGACACGUGGUAUCCUGUCUGAAUAUGGGGGGACCAUCCUCCAAGGCUAAAUACUCCUGACUGACCGAUAGUGAACCAGUACCGUGAGGGAAAGGCGAAAAGAACCCCGGCGAGGGGAGUGAAAAAGAACCUGAAACCGUGUACGUACAAGCAGUGGGAGCACCUUCGGGUGUGACUGCGUACCUUUUGUAUAAUGGGUCAGCGACUUAUAUUCUGUAGCAAGGUUAACCGUAUAGGGGAGCCGCAGGGAAACCGAGUCUUAACUGGGCGUUAAGUUGCAGGGUAUAGACCCGAAACCCGGUGAUCUAGCCAUGGGCAGGUUGAAGGUUGGGUAACACUAACUGGAGGACCGAACCGACUAAUGUUGAAAAAUUAGCGGAUGACUUGUGGCUGGGGGUGAAAGGCCAAUCAAACCGGGAGAUAGCUGGUUCUCCCCGAAAGCUAUUUAGGUAGCGCCUCGUGAACUCAUCUUCGGGGGUAGAGCACUGUUUCGGCUAGGGGGUCAUCCCGACUUACCAACCCGAUGCAAACUACGAAUACCGAAGAAUGUUAUCACGGGAGACACACGGCGGGUGCUAACGUCCGUCGUGAAGAGGGAAACAACCCAGACCGCCAGCUAAGGUCCCAAAGUCAUGGUUAAGUGGGAAACGAUGUGGGAAGGCACAGACAGCCAGGAUGUUGGCUUAGAAGCAGCCAUCAUUUAAAGAAAGCGUAAUAGCUCACUGGUCGAGUCGGCCUGCGCGGAAGAUGUAACGGGGCUAAACCAUGCACCGAAGCUGCGGCAGCGACACUAUGUGUUGUUGGGUAGGGGAGCGUUCUGUAAGCCUGCGAAGGUGUGCUGUGAGGCAUGCUGGAGGUAUCAGAAGUGCGAAUGCUGACAUAAGUAACGAUAAAGCGGGUGAAAAGCCCGCUCGCCGGAAGACCAAGGGUUCCUGUCCAACGUUAAUCGGGGCAGGGUGAGUCGACCCCUAAGGCGAGGCCGAAAGGCGUAGUCGAUGGGAAACAGGUUAAUAUUCCUGUACUUGGUGUUACUGCGAAGGGGGGACGGAGAAGGCUAUGUUAGCCGGGCGACGGUUGUCCCGGUUUAAGCAUGUAGGCUGGUUAUCCAGGCAAAUCCGGAUAAUCAAGGCUGAGGUGUGAUGACGAGGCACUACGGUGCUGAAGUAACAAAUGCCCUGCUUCCAGGAAAAGCCUCUAAGCAUCAGGUAACAUCAAAUCGUACCCCAAACCGACACAGGUGGUCAGGUAGAGAAUACCAAGGCGCUUGAGAGAACUCGGGUGAAGGAACUAGGCAAAAUGGUGCCGUAACUUCGGGAGAAGGCACGCUGGUGUGUAGGUGAAGUCCCUGCGGAUGGAGCUGAGACCAGUCGAAGAUACCAGCUGGCUGCAACUGUUUAUUAAAAACACAGCACUGUGCAAACACGAAAGUGGACGUAUACGGUGUGACGCCUGCCCGGUGCCGGAAGGUUAAUUGAUGGGGUUAUCCGUAAGGAGAAGCUCUUGAUCGAAGCCCCGGUAAACGGCGGCCGUAACUAUAACGGUCCUAAGGUAGCGAAAUUCCUUGUCGGGUAAGUUCCGACCUGCACGAAUGGCGUAAUGAUGGCCAGGCUGUCUCCACCCGAGACUCAGUGAAAUUGAACUCGCUGUGAAGAUGCAGUGUACCCGCGGCAAGACGGAAAGACCCCGUGAACCUUUACUAUAGCUUGACACUGAACAUUGAGCCUUGAUGUGUAGGAUAGGUGGGAGGCUUUGAAGCGUGGACGCCAGUCUGCGUGGAGCCAACCUUGAAAUACCACCCUUUAAUGUUU